GGCUAAGGCAUGCAAGUCGCACGAGAAAGUCCCCUUCGGGAGGCGAGUAAAGUGGCGGAAGGGUUAGUAAUGCAUAGAUAACCUACCCCUGGCCCCGGAAUAACCUUCCUAACGGAGGGCUAAUACCGGCAAAGGAUAUCCCGAAGUCGCAUGGCUUUGGGAUCAAAGGCGGGGAUCCUUCGGGACCUGUCGACUGGGGAGGGGUCUAUGUCCUAUUAGCUUGUUGGUGGGGUAAUGGCCUACCAAGGCAACGAUGGGUAGCCGGCCUGAGAGGGCGACCGGCAACACUGGGACUGAGACACUGCCCAGACUCCUACGGGAGGCUGCAGUCGAGAAUCCUUCGCAAUGCCCGAAAGGGUGACGGAGCGACGCCGCGUGGAGGAUGAAGGCCCUCGGGUUGUAAACUCCUGUCAGGUGGGAAGAAUAGUAUCGGGCCAAAUAUUCCCGGUACCUGACGUUACCACCAGAGGAAGCACCAGCAAACUUCGUGCCAGCAGCUGCGGUAAUACGAAGGGUGCGAGCGUUGUUCGGAAUCACUGGGCUUAAAGGGCACGUAGGCGGAGUGAUAAAUCAGAAGUGAAAGCCCGGCGCUCAACGUCGGAAUUGCUUUUGAAAAUGUCUCUCUCGAGUGCAGGAGGGGAGAGCGGAACUCUUGGUGGAGCUGUGAAAUGCGUAAAUAUCAAGGGGAACGCCGGCGGCGAAAGCGGCUCUCUGGCCUGCUACUGACGCUGAGGUGCGAAAGCUAGGGGAGCAAAGAGGAUUAGAUACCCUUGUAGUCCUAGCCGUAAACGAUGGGCACUGAGUAGGGGAAGCGUUUAGUUUUCUCUGCUGUAGCUAAUGCGUUAAGUGCCCCGCCUGGGGAGUACGGUCGCAAGAUUAAAACUCAAAGGAAUUGACGGGGGCUCGCACAAGCGGUGGAGCAUGUGGCUUAAUUCGAUACAACGCGAAGAACCUUAUCCGGGGCUUGACAUGUUUGGGAAUCCCCCCGAAAGGGGGGAGUGCCUUCGGGAACCCUUACACAGGUGCUGCAUGGCUGUCGUCAGCUCGUGUUGUGAAAUGUUUGGUUAAGUCCUUUAACGAGCGGAACCCUUAUCCUUAGUUGCCAGCGGGUAAUGCCGGGGACUCUAGGGAGACCGCCGGUGUCAAGCCGGAGGAAGGAGAGGAUGACGUCAAGUCCUCAUGGCCUUUAUGCCCCGGGCUGCACACGUGCUACAAUGGCCGGUACAAAGGGAUGCAAGACCGUAAGGUGGAGCUGAACCCAAAAAGCCGGUCUCAGUUCGGAUUGGAGGCUGCAACUCGCCUUCAUGAAGUCGGAAUCGCUAGUAAUCGCGGAUCAGCAACGCCGCGGUGAAUAAGUUCCCGAGCCUUGUACACACCGCCCGUCAAGCCACGAAAGCUGGCAGUACCUGAAGUCGUGUACCCAACCCGUUAAUCGCGGGAGGGAAGCGCCCACGGUAAGGCCAGUGAUUGGGACUAAGUCGUAACAAGGUA
rnacentral:rRNA from 1 species